UACGUAGGGUGCAAGCGUUGUCCGGAAUUAUUGGGCGUAAAGAGCUCGUAGGCGGUCUGUCGCGUCUGCUGUGAAACUCAGGGCUUAACCCUGAGCUUGCAGUGGGUACGGGCAGACUAGAGUGCGGUAGGGGAGACUGGAAUUCCUGGUGUAGCGGUGAAAUGCGCAGAUAUCAGGAGGAACACCGGUGGCGAAGGCGGGUUGCUGGGCUGAUACUG
rnacentral:rRNA from 1 species